AAUGCAUCUGUUAUCAAACAAUCAACUGGUUUACCAGUUUCAGACACAACAGCAUCUAUAGCCUUUAUAAAACUCCCAGGAACUGCCUUAAGGAAAUAAUCGACGGGCUCAUGAGGAUUCCCUCUAAAGCUAUACCCCUCAGGUAAUCCAUCCCAUACAUUAAAAGGCUUAAUUUUAUCAUGGUUUUUGCUAAAAGUUGAGUUGUUUGAUUGUUGGGUGCUAAGGAAGGAAAACAUGGUGUCGGGGCAAGCGUCUGAUAGUUGACGGGUAAUGUUGAGAAGAGGGGCCGCAUGGGUGCCGAAAGGGAAAGCCAACACUGCUAUGUGUUUAGAAGCAUUCUUGUAGCCUUCCAUUGGAUGUUCUUUCUCUAUUCUCUCUGCAAAGAUAAGAAGGGACUUGUUUUUCUCCAAGCUUGUGAGUUAUGAAAAUAGAUGAACUGUACUUAUACUAGUAAAGGGAAAACAAGAAACAAUUAAGGCCGAUAGUUGGGACUUACAGUAUGCGGGACAUAAAAUAUGUGGUUUUACAAGCAACCGUCAUUUUCACUCUUCAAAAAGUAGACUUAGUUGAAGGCCUUGUUACGUGGAAAUUUAAGUUCCAUUAAUUGGUUAAUGUAAAAAUUAUUAUUUGAUGUGGACUGAGUUUUAGCUCGAUUAGUAUGAGUAUUGCUGUUAAUAUAGAAGAAGAUGAAUUUGAGUUAUAGGUUGUGGAAAGACUAGUAUUCUGUUAAAAAGAGUACAAUAUUAUUUAAUUAAUGAGAAGAAAUUAGAAUUUAAUUUGUUUUCUUUUUCCAAAAAGUUAAUUUAGUUUAUUUAAAUAAAGUUAAUCUAACUAUAUAUCAUAAGUGAAACUUUUAUGUAAUAAAAUUUAUAAAAAAAUUGGUAUAAUAAUUAAAUAUGAAUUUAGUUAAAAUAGUAUUGUAUAUUGGGUUUAAAUCUUGUUACGUAUAUAUUUUUCUAGAUUUUAUAUAAAAUUGUAAAAUAAUAAAAAUGUCUUUAAAAAUAUAUUUGUAGCUUUAUAAAAAAAAUAGAGUAAAUUCCAUUCAUAAUUAUUCUAAAAUAGAGUUUGUCAUAUUUUGGUCACUAAUUUUUUUUAAUUUAAUCAUUCUAAUUAAAGGAAUUUACAAAUUAGUCACUGUCGUUAAAUUUUCUGUCACCCUCUAAUAGAUUGCACAAGAAUCAAUCCACCUAAAUUUUUUCCAUGUAAUCCUCUAUGAUUAUUUGCUUAUUUAUAAAUUUGAUGUGUUUUGUGCAAAUGUUGAUCGAAAAUAUAUAUAUAUUUUUUGUAAAUUAUAAAGAGGAGGGUAAAGCCUUAACCAUACUCGAAGUGAUAAACACUCUGAUUAUUAGGCCACCAUACGAGGUUGAAUUGAAAAUAAUUUUGAAACAUGGUUCAUGUGUUAUUUUCCAUAGAUUGUGCCGUUUGAGGGUUUGUUUGUUAUGGGUUUUGUGCGAAUGUUGAGAUAAUUAUUUUAGUUUAGGUUCUUGUUUGUUUUUGUUGUAUUGAAAAGUGCAUGUAUUGUUAGAGCUUGGGAAUGAAACUUUUGUUUAGAUUGUUGAGUUAAUUGUGGUCGGGGUUGUUGAUGCACUAAAAGUUGAUGAAAUAUGGACUGAUAUAACAGGAGAUGGCCUGCCAUUUUUGAAUUAUUACUGGUGUAAAUUUUUGGUCUUUGUGCGCAGUGUCAUUAAUAGAAAAUUAAUAGGAAGUUGGACCAUGUGGUCCAUGGCUUUUUCUACUUGCAAAUGAAGAAAAAGGUAAGUGAGAAAGUUUGUAAUAAUUAGCUUUUAAGUGGUGUUGGAAAAGGCGGUUUCAAAAUUUCAUUUUCGUAAAUCGGGUAUGGAGUUAGUAUAAAAAUAUAUUAAAGUUUGAUCCAAUAAUUUUGUUAAACUAAUAGAUAAUUUAGGUGCAGAGAUUAAAUUGUAAAAAUUUAAUCAUUAUAGAUUUUUAAUUAGAUAAAUGUUCAAAAUUGUAAAUAAACUAUUUUGUUACAUCAAAUAGCGGAUGAUACGUUAACAUCCUCUAAUUUUGAUUAAUGUUUAAUUAAUUAAUGUUUAAUGAAUUAAGAUUUAAACCAAGUAUAUAAAGGUGAGAUAGUGCAAAAUUGUCAUAUUUCUUUCUUCUUCUCCACCGUUUGAACAUGAAAACCUAAGGGAAAGACCAUUUUUUAACUCAAAGCAAUUGAUCCCUAAUUGGUAAGCUUUUCCAAGUCAUUUUUUUUAUAAUUUUUAUGUGUUUGAGGUCACGGGAGCUCGAUUUAGCUAGCCCAUGUACCAAUUUACAAAACUAUUGAAGUUUUUAAAAGUUUUCAUUGUUGAUUUCUUGAAUAAAUUGGUGUUAACUUGAUAGAUUUUAAGCUUAGAUUAUGAAAAAGGACUAGAUUGUAAUGUUUAAUUGAUAGUUUUGUACAUAAGGACUAAAGUGAAUAAAAUGUGAAAUUGAGGUGGAAUUUUGGUAUAAAUAGAGAGUAGAAGGUUUGUAAUGAAUGUAAUUAAAUUCAGAUUUUAAAGUCAGGCUUAAAAUUGAAAGACAUUGUCAUUUCGAUUUUAGGGACUAAAUUGACUAAAAAGUAAACAUUUAGGGGUAUCAAAAAAUAAGAUUGUAUAGGUUCAUUCAUGUCAUAGCAUAUUGUAUACAUUUUUUAUUUUGACGGAUUGGAUGGAAUAAGUGUAUAGAAAAGAAUUGGAUCAAACCGGUAAUAAUCCAAGAAAAAACCAAAAUUGUCAAUUAGUCCCUGAAGAUUCAACUUGUUUGUUGUUUUGGCCAAGUAAGCUCAUAUGGUAUUUAUUUAUAUAGAUUGUUGUGUAUUAUUGUGAUUAUAUAAGUGUUUGGUUGUGAAUUUGAUCAAAAGGUGAGAUUUGGACUAAAUUGAAAAGUAAUGUUAAUAUGUGUAAUAGGUGCCCAUAUGGACUUAGUAAAGGUUAGGAUACGGUUGGCAUGCCAAUAGGAUUUUGUGCACACCUUUACGAGAUUGAUUACAGAUGUUACCAAGAUCCAACAUUUGUUAUGGACUCGCAAAUACAUUUAACACAGGUUUAGCUCGGACGAGUAACCUGAUGUCGUGUUAAAGGGUUAGCUCAGACAGGUAACUUGACAUGUAUGUAUACUUAGCUUGGAUAAACAUUCAGAUGUGUUGAUAUAAAGGUUUAGCCCAAAUGGGUAACCUGACACGAAUAUAUAUAUUCAUCUCGGACAAGCAACUGGUGUGGUGUAAUUACCUGUGUAUCCAAGUCUGUUUUCUAGGGUUCAUUGGGUGAAAUAGUUUAUAUGAAAUGAAAAUUAAUGAUGUUGAUGUUCACUUAAAUAAAUGUUGAAUGGAACUUGAAUAAUGUAUUGGAAAAAUGUCAUGAAUAUGUAUAUGAUUACAUUAUCCCUUGAAUGAAUGAGUUUGGAAUCAGUUAUACAAAAUGACAUGAAUUGGUAUGGUAAGUGAUUGAGUUGCCAUGUGGUUUGAUUACAUGUUAAUACUCACCUUAUUGAUGCUUUGCUUUGCCAUGUUUAGCCAAACCAUGUCAAGUUAAGGUUGUUUAUUGUAUUUAGAUAAAAUAUGAGGUAAGUUUUGUUUAAUGCCUAUGAACAGCAUCCUAUAUGCUUACCUAGUUUGUUUUCGUAACGACCCGAUAGUCACGAGUGUCGGAAAGUACAUUUCUGAAACUCCGUUACCGUAAAUCAGACUCGUAAAUAUUUAUUAAAAAUAUUGACGAAGUUAGUUGUGUAGUUAAUUAGGUUUUGGUUAGGUGAAAUUGCAUGAAUUAAGAGUAACUACGUAAAAAAAAGACUAAAUUGUAUAAAAGGUGAAAGUUGAAUUAUAGAUUAAAGAAAAAUUAAAGGGACCAAAGGAGCAAUUAUGCCAAUGGUCAUUAUUAAGGCUGCAUAAGUGUAUAUAUAUUAUAAAUAUUUAAAGUUAAAAUAUAUAUAUAUUAUAAUAUUAUAAUAUUAAAACUUAAAAGUUAAGUAUAUAUAUUAUUAUAUUAUAAUGAUAAAGUAAAAGAAAAAGAAAUAGAAAAAGAAGGAGAGAAAGAAACGAAACAGAGAAGGAAACGAAAUAGAGAAGGAAAGAAAGAAAAGAAAGAGGGAGAAAAGUUAGGGUUUCAAGGGUUCAAAGCUCAAUUGGUUAGUCAAUUUAGUCCAUUUUCUUGUAAUUUUUAUGUUUUUGGAAUUACGGUAUUAAAUACUACUUGACCCAUGUCAAAAUUUUAGAAAUUAUUAAGUUUUUAAGUGAUGUUUAUGUUGAAUAAUUUUAGUAUUAGAUAUUAAAUUGAUAGAUUUUCAAGUUAGAAAUGGAAAAGGAUUGAAUUGUAGAAUAAAAUGUAAAUUUUGAGUAUUAGGGACUAAAUUGUGAAAAUUAGAAAUUUAAGGAUUUAAGUGAAAUUAUGGAGUUAAAUCUAGUCUAAAGUGGAAUUUGUAUGAAAAUAUAAGAUUGAUUGUGAAGAAAUAAAAUUAGUCUCGGUUUAGGGACUAAAUUGGAAUUUAGGCAAAUAUUGAGUAAAAAUUGAAAUAUUAAAUAUGAGAUUUAAUUGUGUUGUAUUGAUGAAUUUUAAUUGUUUUAAUUCCGUAGCUAACGUCAUACCAGAAUCCUUAACUAAAAAGAGAAAAGAUAAAGUCGACGAGGAAUAGCUCGAAAUUUCUAGUUUGUAUUUCUAUAAUCCAAAGCUAGUUAUUAAUUGUUGUAAUAUUUAUUUAAUGUAUAUGGUAAGUGUUGAGGUGGGUAAUUGAUAUUUUGAUAUUUGAUUGAAUGAAUUGAAUUGGUAGAUAUAUGUAUUGAAUGGAUUGAUUUUUUUUUGAAUUGAAAUGAAUAUAUGUGAAAUUAAACCCUAUUAACUGUAUUGGGUUGAGUCGGAUAUAGAUGGCAUGCCAUAGGAUUGGAAGAGUUCAGGGAUUUCUUCGACGUCGAGUCGAUGAGACACUGGGUAUCAAUUUAUUACUUCGUAUUAAUUUGAUGAGGCACUGGGUGCCAAUUUACUUCAGUUUAACCGAUGAGACACUGGGUGUCAAUUUAUUACUUCAAAUUAUCCGAUGAGGCACUGGGUGCCAAACUGGUGUGUUUUGGUUGGAUUCGUGUAUCCGCCUGAGUCCGAGUCAUGUUAAUAGGGGUAAAUGAAUAAUAAAGUCUUAUAAUUGAUAUUGAAAUGGAAUGAUAUGAGAAAUGAAGUGGAAUAGUGAAUUGAAUAUGGUAUGGAUAAAGCAAUUGCAUUAUGGAUAAAGCAAUUGCAUAAAUGAAAUGUGAUUAAAAUUGUGAAAAGUUAUUUCUAUAGCAAGUGAUGGAAAAUUUAGUAUUGUAUGGUUUUAAAUGUUCAAUUGUGCUUAACAUUUUAUUAUACAUAUUAUAUUGUUUUAUUUUUAAAUAUUCGGAUUAUAGAAAUACCACUGAGUUUUUACUCAGCGUAUGGUUUUAUUUUUCGUGCGCAAGUUAGGUACUUAAUUUUGAUCGCCGAUUCAGCAUCCAACAACGACCCGAACUCAAACAUGGUGAUGUUUUUCCUUUUGUGUUGGCAUGUACCUAGGGUGUCUAAAUAUUAAUCAUUUUGCGGAUUGAUUGUAAAUAAGAUUAUAAGUUAAUAUUGGAUGGUUAUAUACAUAUAAAUAUGUGUUUAUGUUUAUGUUUGAGGUCAUAUUAUGGCAAAUUUUAGUUAAUGUUUAAAUGAACAUGAAAUGGGUAAAAUAAAUUGAAAUUGGCAUGUUUACAAAUUGGAUUUGAAUGAUGUUUUAUUGGUAUGUUUUGAUGAUAUAAUUGUGGUACCUAUGAGGAUACAUUGGUUAGGCACCUAGGAUGAUUGUUUUGACAUAUUUUGGAUGUGCUUGAUUGUGGUUUGAAUUGGUUAAGCGAAUGAUUUUUGAGUUGCUUAUUGUUCAAGCUUGCAGGGAAUGGUAAACUUGUUGUUAAAGGUAUAUUUUAAGUCCACACGGCCAGACACACGGGUAUGUGAUUGGACUGUGUGAGACACAUGGCUUGACACACAGGCGUGUGAACCUUGCAGCUUUAAAAUUUUUUAAUAUUUUACGAAAAAUUCUCUAAGUCUCCGAAUUAGUCCCGAUUUGUUUCUAACACGUAUUUUGGGCCCCGAGGGCUCAAAUAAUGGACAUUAUGUAUGAAUUUAAUUGGUUUUUGAUCUGAAUAUUAUAUGAUAUCAAUAUUUAAAUUUAUGUCUAUUUGAUCGACAAGCUUCAGUAAUGCUCUGAAACCUUAUUCCGGUGAAACAUUAUGUGGGUUAGGGAUGUUACAUUUUUCCUUUUCCCUUGUAGGUCGUCACCUUGCAAAACUUGUCAAGCCAGAUCGUUUUGAAGCUCACACUAUCCUAUCACAACAGCUUUUUAUUUAUUUAUAUUGAGUCAGUAUUGUGGCUUGUAUAUUAGGUUAAGGUGUUAAUGAAAUGGUCACUCUCUAAUUCAUAUGGAAUGUAUGAUGUUGUGGCAAAUGUGGAAUGUAUGAAAGGUUUGGUAUGUAAUAUAUGGUGUAUGGAUCAACUAUGCUUGAUGUGGUUUAGUACAUGAUUUUAAACUUGAACAUGUCAUGUAGAUAUGCUAUAAAUUACAUAUAGAUGAUAUGAUAAGUUGAAUGAGUAUAUAAGCUUAUAUGUUUAUGUCCUUAUAAUGAAAAUGAGAUGGUUUGUUUGAAUAUGAAUUGACAUAGUGAAGAUUGGUAUUUGGUUGGUUGGUUUGGAUGAACAGAUAGUUUUGUAAUAGGUUGAGCUUAUAUCGAAUUGGUUUUGAUUAGAAAUGUUUAAAUGACUUGUUUUGGUAUGAAAUGUUAUGAGUUUGGAAUGUUUUUAGGUGAGCAUAAUGGUUGGUUUGAUUGGAAAUUGUGAAAUAGGUACCAAAUGACUCAUUUUUAUCAUACAGGGUCUUCAUCUUGAUAACCAUCUUCCCUCAUCGCAACAUUGGCUGACAGUAUGUGACGUCACGACAUCGAGUAGCCUGACGUUGUGAUGUGACAUACUAUUUUGGCGACAUAACGACGUGGAAAAGAUGAUGUCACAACGGUAAUGGUGAAUGGUGAAUGGCAACAAUGGUCAUGGUGAUUGAUGACCAAAAACUGAAAAAAAGUUUCUAAUUUUUGGGUUUUUGAGAGAUUUAUAGAGAGAAUGAGAUGUGAGAGGGGGGAGUGAACAUUGGCAAUUAAGUUUUAUGUUGGCACAUAUCAGAAAUUGAAAGCAUGCAAGCAGUAGAUGCCGACAAAAACAGUGGUGGAAGUCACAAUAAAUUCUUGUAGAUUUGGAGUUUUGUGAUGAAUUUUAAGAAAAAACUAAGAUGGGAAAGAAAAAAGAGGAGAACUGGAUGAUUAUUUUGGUGAAGAAUGACAUGAUUAUGGGUUGUUCACCGUUGGGGUGGCAAUCGUUACUGAAAUCUGGAAUUUAAAAAUGAUUUUUUUGGCAAACAAUGAAGAUUCUGUUUGAAUGUUCUUCCCAAAGUAAAGAGAGAGGCAGCACAUUUAACGCUUUUGGUUUUUUAAUAUUUUUACAAAAAUAAAAACAUAAUUUAAUUUAUUAAGGGCAUAUUCAUCAUUGAGUACUUUUUUUGCUAUUACAUAUCUAUCCCUUUUAGUCAAACACACGAAUACUAUUACAAUACUUAUUCCAUUAUAUCCAACUAAACCAUUGAUAUGUUUAUGAUCUAUUUCAUUACAGUGUUGUUCUAUUCCUAUAGAAUGACUAUUCCAUUACAACCUUUUUCCAAUUCAGUGAACCGAACGUGUCGUAAGGUAAGUGAUUGAUUUCAUUAUGUGGUUACCAUCAAAGAUCCCCGGCAAUAUCUCAUUCAAUCCCCCCACAAAUUUUCCUUUUCUUUCUUCACUAAAAACUUGUUACUAUUCAAAUAUGCAAAAACCGAUUUAGGCUUUUGUUUUUCUUUUUGUUUCAUGAUGAUGAUGAUGGUACCGAUCCCACAUAUGCACUAGUGCUGGUAUAUGUUAGGGCAAGCACAGCAUAUCAAUAAGGAAAUGUUGGUAGAGGAAAGCCUUGGACCGGAAUUACCAACCUCAAGAUGUUUGGUCAACAAUAUUUUAAUCAUCCACUAACUUGGUGGUAAGUGUUAGAGACAAGUUUCACCAGUGUUUUGAAAUUUUCAUUAGAGCUACCAUUGGGUUUAACAGCCUUGCAAGCCAGCUCUUUUUGAACUCUAAUUUUCUCUCUCAUUUUCUUCCCUUCUUGGCUGCACAAUAUCAACUUCAUUGCUUUCUUUGCUCCUUCUUUUGUCAAUGUUCCACCUUCUAACCCCAACCCGAAUCCCCAUACAACCUCCACAGUACGAGUGUUCAAUUGUUGGUCUCCAAAAAAUGGCCUGCAGAUCAUAGGCACACAUCCAUUAAUACUUUCCAGGACUGAAUUCCAUCCACCAUGACUUACAAAAACCCCAACUGAUGGAUGUUCCAAUAUUUUCUGCUGCGGAGCCCAUGGAACUAUCUUUCCUUUGGAGCUGGUUCUUUCCAGGAAUCCUAGUGGCAGCUGUUUCUCAGGACUUCCCCUCAAAGACCAAAGAUAUGGAAACUCACAUUCUUCCAGGGCUUCACAUAAUGCAUGUAGCUCAUGGGGUGGUGGGGUUAUCACGCUUCCAAAGCUGAUGUAUACCACCGACGCUGCCUCAUGCUUGCUCAUCCAAUCCAAGGUCCCAUGCGAGUCAUCCACUGUGGAACUGGAAACUGAUACCAGAUUGAAGGGACCAACGUUGAGGAACGUACUGAAUCUUAAUUUCAGCAUGUUCACCACUGUAUUAUCCAAGUCUUCGUAUGAAUUUGUGGCAACUGCCGCGGCGCGUGACAGUGACACUCCCAUUUUAUUCAACAAUGCCGGCAUGGGGGCGUCAAUGUCUCCGGAGGUUAAUCCAUUGGGUAAGUCAGCAACACGUAUGCUAGAAAAAUCGGGAAGAAAAUGAAGUGGUUUGUCUUUAGGACCUGCAAAUUUAUGAAUAUUCAUAUUUGUUCAGCACCCAAUUGUUUUUUAAAGAUUAAAGUAUAAUUUUAAUUUAAAAUUUUAUAAAUUAUAAAGAGGAGUUAAUUUUAAAUUUUAUUAGUUAAUUUUUUUAUAUUUUUUUAUUUAAGUUUUUUUUCUUUGAUUAAAGUUUUUAAUUAUGUAAGUUAAUUAAAGAGCAGAAAGGAUAUAUGAUGAGUGUCUAAAAAUUAAGAAUUUUAGAAUCUUUCUAAUAUAAGUUAUAGGUUAACAUAUUAAAAAAAUCCUUAAACUAUUCUACUUUGUUUAAACAAGCCCUUAUACUAUUUUAUUAUUUUUGUACUUAAAUAAACCCCUAAACUAUAAUUUUUACCCACAAAAGUUCUUGAUUUUAAUACUGAAGGUAAAAAUAUUUAAAAAAUUUAAACUAAUUUGCAUUUUAUAUUGAUGUGAAUUUUUUGAGAAUAUUUUAUUAAAUAAAAAUAAAAAAUAUUUUAAAAAUUCUUGAAAGUGCUUAUAUAUAAAACACAAUCAAUUACUCUUUUAAAAAUUUUGAUUACUUUCUAAAAUUAAAUGUUGAUGUUAAAAUGUAUAUAAUUUCUAUUGCAUCAAUAAGAAAUUAAAAUAAGAACUUGAAAUUUAAAAUAUAUUUAUUUUAAUAUUAAAAUCAAGAACUUUUAUGAGAAAAAAAAAGGUUCGGGUUUAUUUAACUACAAAAAUAAUACUAUAAUAGUUUAAUGGAGAUUUUUUUUUAAAUAUAUUAGCUUUCUGUAAAUUCUUCAAAAAUACUAUUGUUUGCAAUUAAUAUGCUUCACAGUCAAAUAUUUAAUUAAUUGAUUUUGGACCAACCAGCCUACCAAAAGUCUUAUUGUUAAUUGUAACAAUAAUAAAGUUUUUCUCUUUCAUGCAUGAAAUUGGUAAGUUUACGAGCUAGUAUGUUAAAACCUACCUACCUAAUAAAAACCAUCCAUAUCCUACCUCUCACAAAAAAGGGAUUCAAAAGUUAUUAAGCUAGUUAGGGUGAGUAAAUUUUUUUUUUGAGAUUAAAAUUAAAUUGUAUAAUUUUACCAUUUUAAUAAUCUAUAUCGUAUGAAUCCUUACCGUUAAUUCCUACAUAGUGGCGAAUAAUAUCAGAGUCGACAUGAACGAAGAGUGCCCUGGGACUAGCGGUCCAAAGAGCCACCCAAGGGAUGUUAAGCUCAUCCGCGAUAUCAGCCCCAAACGCAUAAAAUGCAUCUGUUAUCAAAAAAUCAAUUGGUUUACCAGUUUCAAACACAACAUCUAUAGCCUUCAUAAAAUUUCUAGGUACCGCCUUAAGGAAAUAGUCGACAGGCUCGUGAGGGUUCCCUCUAAAAGUAUACCCCUUAGGUAAUCCAUCCCAUACAUUAAAAGACUUAAUUUUAUCAAGAUUUUUGGGAAAAGUUGAGUUGUUUGAUUGUUGGGUGCUAAGGAAGGAA
rnacentral:lncRNA from 1 species